ACCGACCCUAGUCAGUCUAAAUGAUGUAGACAGAACCCGCUCCGGGCUUGAUUACCACCGAAAAUUUCCCGAGACGGUAGAAUGUAAACUCUAGGGUGAAGAAGAAAGCAUUGCCCGGCUUAGAUGAGCCUUUCGAUUAUGAUUUGUUAGCACAACUAGCUAAUGUACCAGCUAGAAUUACCUUGUUGAGGUUGUCACCUGACAUCCGACAAGUGUCAAGGCUCUAUCAGAAGCCGAUAAGUAUGCACCCCAUGUACACCAGAUAGAGGUGAAUGAUGUACCUCAAGAAAUCAAGUAAAGUUCCACGUUCUUGGAGGGGCUUGCUCUGAUGGUAAGCA
rnacentral:lncRNA from 1 species